GUGGGGAAUAUUGGACAAUGGGGGCAACCCUGAUCCAGCAAUGCCGCGUGUGUGAAGAAGGCCUGCGGGUUGUAAAGCACUUUUGUUGAGGAAGAAUGUGUUUGGGUUAAUAGUCCAAAUGCUUGACGUUACUCAAAGAAAAAGCACCGGCUAACUCCGUGCCAGCAGCCGCGGUAAUACGGAGGGUGCAAGCGUUAAUCGGAAUUACUGGGCGUAAAGCGUGCGUAGGCGGAAUUUUAAGUCUGAUGUGAAAUCCACGGGCUUAACCUGGGAACUGCAUUGGAUACUGGGAUUCUAGAGUAUGGUAGAGGGUGGCGGAAUUUCUGGUGUAGCGGUGAAAUGCGUAGAUAUCAGAAAGAACACCAAUGGCGAAGGCAGCCACCUGGGCCAAUACUGACGCUGAGGUACGAAAGCGUGGGGAGCAAACAGGAUUAGAAACCCGUGUAGUCC
rnacentral:rRNA from 1 species